rnacentral:rRNA from 1 species
CCUACGGGGGGCUGCAGUCGAGAAUCAUUCACAAUGGGGGAAACCCUGAUGGCGCGACGCCGCGUGGGGGAAUGAAGCUCUUCGGAUUGUAAACCCCUGUCAUGUGGGAGCAAAUUAAAAAGAUAGUACCACAAGAGGAAGAGACGGCUAACUCUGUGCCAGCAGCCGCGGUAAUACAGAGGGCUCAAGCGUGGGUCGGAAUCACUGGGCGUAAAGUGUGCGUAGGCUGUUUCGUAAGUCGUGUGUGAAAGGCGCGGGCUCAACCCGCGGACGGCACAUGAUACUGCGAGACUAGAGUAAUGGAGAGGGAAGCGGAAUUCUCGGUGUAGCAGUGAAAUGCAUAGAUAUCGAGAGGAACACUCGUGGCGAAGGCAGGUUCCUGGACAUUAACUGACGCUGAGGCACGAAAGCCAGGGGAGCGAAAAGGAUUAGAUACCCGGGUAGUC